UCCUACGGGAGGCAGCAGUGAGGAAUAUUGGACAAUGGACGAAAGUCUGAUCCAGCCAUGCCGCGUGCAGGAUGACUGCCCUAUGGGUUGUAAACUGCUUUUAUACAGGAAGAAACACCCCGACGUGUCGGGGCUUGACGGUACUGUACGAAUAAGGAUCGGCUAACUCCGUGCCAGCAGCCGCGGUAAU
rnacentral:rRNA from 1 species